GACGAACGCUGGCGGCGUGCCUAAUACAUGCAAGUCGAACGCAUUGUCUUUCACCGUAGCUUGCUGCACCGAAAGAAAGUGAGGGGCGUACGGGGGGGUAACACGUCGGUUACGUGCGCAACAGCGUGGGAUAACACUUGGAAACAGGUGCUAAUACCGCGUAAUUCCAUUUACCGCAUGGAAGAUGGAUGUAAGGCGCUUUUGCGUCACUGAUGGAUGUGCAUGCGGUGCAUUAGCAAGUUGGGGGGGUAACGGCCUACCAAGGCUGAGAUACAUAACCGACCCGGGAGGGGGGUCGGCCACCCUGGGACCGAGACACGGCCCAGACCCCUACGGGAGGGAGCAGGAGGGGAUCUUCGGCAAAUGGCACAAGGCUGACCGAGGAACGCCGCGGGAGUGGAGGAGGGUCUCGGAUCGUAAAAAUCUGUUGUUAGGGAAGAACAAGGAUGAGAGUGGAAAGUUCAUCUCUUGACGGUAUCUAACCAGAAAGCCACGGCUAACUACGUG
rnacentral:rRNA from 1 species